AAUGCAAUCACUGAGUAACUGUAAUCCAUUACUUUACUUUUUCAAGCGAAAAGUAAUUACUGCGUUAGGGGCCGUUCACACAGAACGCGUUUUUCUAUUCCAAUGCACUACUUUUCCAUUGUUUUUCCUAUGUAAACGCGCUAGACGGACGUGUAUGACCGUUACACUCACGUCUCGUGUCUUUUGCAGCGCCUUGCACAUGAGCGCCACAUUUUUAAGACGUCAUCUCAAAGAAUUUCAACUUUUACACGCAGCACUGCUCAUCAAUGUCAGUUUCUAAACAGCGGACCAAUCAGAAGAACUCGGAGGCGGGGCAAGCGUUGCGAGCUUCUGUUUACAAUAGCAAGUUGGCAUGGGAACUGUUUUAUUUGCGAUUAUUUUCUUCUUUUUUUUCCCCAAAUCAAAAAUAGUAUCCAUCUAUCUAUUCUGCUAUUUGCCUAUUUCUAUUAUUUUUUCGUUAUUUCGUUAUUGCAUCACGUCUCAAAAGCGAGUCUCGAGACCCUCACUUUCUGCAAUGCACUUUUUUAAAAACAAUUCCAGAGCGCUUUCGCGUUUUUGACGCAAAGACGCGUUCUGUGUGAACAAGCCCUUAGGCUACUGUUUAACCAUCCUUUUAGAGAAGUGCAGAUGAUGUACAACAUUGUAGGCCAAAGCAAAUUCAGAAAACUACUGACAUAUUUUGCGCGCAAGUUUGAAAACCCCUGUUUAGGAAAUGUAGAUCUAGAACAAUGUUUUAAUGAACUCAAACUCUUUGACAGAUGGUUGAUGAGUUUUAGAUCACUGUUCAUGAUAUUAAUUCACCAUAUAUGGCUCCUUAUCUUAAAGAAUAAGCUUGACAGGAAAUGUUCGAUGAAUGGGUUUGAUAAAUGCAUUUCUCUCUGAUUUCUGUCACUUUAUUUUCUGCCAUCUUUAAGCUUCUUUUGGUUUACUGCCCGGCUAGCAGACGCUUGAUUUCCCACUGUAUAUGGGAUGCAUUAUCUCUCCAAAGUGUGUUCUGGAGUCACAUGAUAACUGCAUCUUCUGGAAUGUGCUCGUGUGCAUCUGUAUUUCUGUACAUUACUUUUGGCUUUUUUUGUUUUUGUUUCGUAUGUGUGUCGGGCUGCAGUGGUCCCUGAGCUCACGGGCCAGAAGACGACACCAAACUCCCCGAAGGUCGGUCAAACAAGAGCAGCCCCGAAGGUCCCCUUCUCUCCACGUGACCCUUAGCACCUUCUUCUUCCCUACUUUCUUCUCAGUUUUUCCCCUCAUUGAGUAAAUCAACCCCACGAACACGAGCAAAAGAACAAGACGAAGAUGUUUCCUGCUUCAUCGUCUGGUUGAACGUUUGAGAAAUGAGUUCAGUCUUCUUGGAGAAACUCCUCACAUUGUGACCCAUGUGAAGAAGGCGGCCUUUCCUGGAACAAAUCAUUCAGAUGACUUCUCAUGUAUUAUUCAAAAGCCAUUUAUUCCCACACUGCAAAAAAAAAUCAAUGUCCCAAUCAGUAUUUUUGUCUCAUUUUCAAGUAAAAAGAUGUUUAUGGACUGGAAAACCAGACAAAAGCACUAAUUAAUGGAGUUUUUCGCAGUGCAAACGUUGUUGUGACAAUGUUAAGCUUUCAGGUACGAGGACGUGUGUUCACCCUUCAUCAUCGUGCACAGAAAUCAUUCAUUCGCUUAGUGAAAUCUGAACCUUUAGUGGGGCUGGAUUCAAUUUGAGAGUGCAAUAUAAUCGGCAGGCAGCCGUAUCUACAUGCAUGUCAUUAAAAACAUAUUAGUGCAGUUUCAGGGUGGACAGACGUUCGCUGAGACGCUUGUGUUUACAAAACCUGUUUAAUUCAUUUCAUAAAGAAGUAGAGACUGUAAUGCUACUAAUUCAGGUUGGCUGUGUCUCUUUAAAUGUCGGGAAGGUUUUCCACACACAGACUGUUUGGAAUUGAAUACUUGCUUACUGUACAUACAGUAUAUACUGUAUAAUGCUUACUAUUUUUAACAAACAGCAUGUGAAAGUGCACUAUUCAAUGCUAAACAGUAGUUUAUCAACUGACUGCAUGUUUAAUUCAGCAAGUUGUGUCCAGAAAUCAAGUUAUUUUUGCAUUUUUCAUGGCUGACCAGACAAGUCAAGAAAUUUGCAUUUGGAGCAUUUGCAUACUGUGCAUACAUACUAUAUACUGCAGAAAUAGUAUGAUGUUCUGAACAUAGCCACAUAUGAUUAAAGGUGCUGUGAGCAAUUUUUUAUUUCAGUCACAUGACAUCCUUCUCAAAGACAUAUCAACCAACCCACAAAUUGAACGACAGAGAUUCUCAUUGGCUAAAAAAAUCGACUGUCCCGAUUUAUGAACUGUGCAUUGAAAUUAUGCACAUUUAUCCUCACGUCUGAUUUUCUUGGUUCAUUACGAAAGCAAAAAUGAAAAGACAAAUGCUGGUCUAUGCAUAGAAAUCAUCACAGUUUGUUCAGAUGUUGUUUGUUUGGUUGAAAAUGAGAAAAUAUGAGUGCAACCCUACACACUGUAAUUCGUAAUUCUGUGAUUUGUUGUAAUAAUAAUAUUAAUAAAUAAUAAUAAAGCCCUGUUGCUAAUAGUUCACGCUCUGUGGCGUGACCAGACCGUCUGCGGUUUCAACAGUGCCGUAUCAGUUGUAUCUUUCUGUCUUCAUCAUUCACACCAAACCUUCCCCGAAUCCACUCCGAGUCUUAGUAAAUCCCACUAACGAGAAAAGAAUUACUGUUAUUUAAGAGUUCAAAUGUUUGUCAUGGGCAUACUGUAUCUUAAGUGCGUUGCGUAUAUUUGUGGUGCAUUUAUGCAAAUUGUGCUUCCACUGUUUAGACACUAGUGUAGUCCACAUGUACGAUUAUUGAAUAUUAAAUUAUUAUGGAUAAGUGAUUUCUUUAAAUUAAGCUUAUGAUCAUGUGCAAAGCGAGAAAUGGAGUGUCUAGAGGAAUUAACCGGGCCUCUUUCUGCAUUUGGACAGAAAGGUGAAUCAAUAUUGAGUGUGUAACGUGUGAAUGAAUGGAUGAAUGAGUGUGUGUAACGUGUCCUCUGCUUGUCAAGCGGAGCUUUGUCGUCAUUAAAGUUCAGUGUACCAAAA